GCCCUGCAGCUCUCCCCUUAGUGCGGUGACAUCCGCAAGGAUGUUUUUUUGUAGGUCGGCUAGCAGGGUCUUUAACACCCCAGUGGUUACCAGGUCGGCAUCUGGGUCCUUCCUUGGUUUGCUGGGUUUUGCCCUGGGCUUUGGGUCUGGGGUUAGGAGGCAUUCAUCUUCAGCUCCCUCUGAGUAGUCAUCUGAGAAAUCCGAG